rnacentral:misc_RNA from 1 species
GCAGUAUAAGAAGCAAGCUUUCGAGCAACUUCAUUGUCACCAACUUCAAAAUCAUCUUCAUCAUUCACAGGAAUCGAGGUAACAUAAGCGUCGCGGUCCGUUCCGCCAUAUAGGUCUUUAUCGAAGGUGAGGGUAGUGAGAGAGGCAAGCUCUUUCUCCAUUUUUUUGCGUUCUUCUUGGGUUUUCGCUAUCUCUGGAUCCAUAGUUGAUUUGAAAUCGAUUCGUCUCGUGCGUUUAUUAC